AAUUUUUAAAAAUCAUUUCCUUUUCUGUUGUCUGCAAAAGCGCGCUAUGGCUAACCUGAUUUCUCUCGGGCCUUAUGUAGGUUGGCCUGCUUAGGAGUAUACUACUUAUUCUCUGACUUGCUCCCCCCCCCCCCCCAAAUCACUCUGCCUUAGAGACCAUUUUUGAAAUGGGAAUGAAUUCCAUCUUAUUCUUAAAUUGAAAACACAGCGGCUUAUGGUUCUGCCCUAAGUUCUAGAAGUAGCUCCUCUUGAUCAUCCUUUAAGCGGUUUUUAACUGGAAGGUCCACGGUCGACUCCCUUGUUCAUUUCUUCAGAAGCCCCUUCAAAUCUUCAUUUGCUGGAUCAUGGCGCAGGCUGUCAGGGAACUGGAGCUUACUUGGGAAGAAACUGUGCCUGGUCCCCGUGCUAAGGAGGGCUUGUUGGCCAGGGGAUCCGAUCUGGGGGAGCAGAGUGGGAAGGGAACUUGGGGUGAGGCCAUCCGAGGCCCUCCAAAGUUACCGGAUGCCAAGACAACACUUCCUAUUGAACCUUCAUCUCAGGCUUUCCAUCAGAACGGACACUGAUAUAUGGACAUCCAUUUCCUGCUGAGACUCUUAAGGCGUAGGACAGGUGCUUCUCUAGGAUGUGAAGCUGUCAUGUGGCCAGGAGGGAGACGUGGUCACCAAAUCCAAAAUGUAGUAACUUCCAUUGAUGUUCACGCAGUCGAUCCCAAGGGAAUCGCUGGGUGGCCAAGGGGUAGAAGGAAGAGCGGACGUCCUCCGGCACCAUGGAAUCUGGCAAUGCACUGUGGACAGAAGCCCCCACCUCCACCUGCAGGAUCCCGGGAUCAAGACCUGAACUGAUGUCAGGUGAUUAACCAUGUGAGCCACCCGGGUGCCCUUGUAAAUGUUGGAUCUACAACUGGGUCAAAUUCUGAACCUAUGAUGAAUUAGUUCGUGGGGGCCCCGGGGGGUCCCCCUACCUCCUGUAUUCAGUUUUCUCUCUCCCACUCCUCCUUUGCUCGGGUUUGUGUCUUCCUGGAUAUACUGGGGGUGGGGUGGGGGAGUGUCUUUUGCCCUGCUCCUCGUUCUCGGUGUUUUCUUCCAGAGAGUCUCAAAUCAGCAUCAUCAGCCUUGGGGCUUCUGUCGCGGCGAGGGCUGUAUGGUCUCACGCCUCCUGGCGGAAGUCAAGGUGGGACCGGAUCCCCUCAGUGUGCCCUUCUUACAUUUCCCUGCGUCGGGGCCUCCCUCCGUUGCACCCACAACACAGAGGGUCACCCCCAGGGCUGUGCUUGGGGUGUGCUUUCCCCCAUAGGAUCCGGACGUCCGCAUCCAGCACUGGCCCAACACCCAGUCCCUGGAACUGAAGCACACCAGUCAGCAUGUCCUGCGGUUGCCAGCCUCAGGGGGGAGCCCUGGAGACCAAUACAGGCCACAUGCAGGUCACAUGGGUGACACCUCCCCCCAAGAUACAGUCCAUUCUCCUUCAUUCUCACCUUGUUGGCAAGGAGGGGACCUUAGUUUGGAAACGGAUGGCGACCUCCAUGUGAGAUAACAGAACACGGGCCAACACACAAGCUGGCCGGCGAUGGCCAGUUCCCUCCCAGAUCGUGGCUGUCACCUCUGAAGCCAGUUAGUUAGCGAAGGAGCAGGUCAAGCUGACCCCCGCGUCCUCAGUUAACAUACGGACACCGUGCCUGUGAUGCUGCCGCUUGUUUUAAUCACCAUCUCCUCAGGUCCCCGAUGAGAGAGAGAUUCCUGCUCCAGACUUGUGGGAUGCCCUGACACCCGACACGUGUGACUGACCAACAGUUUACUCGUCCCAUACCCUCGCGCUUCAGGGGAGGAGGAUACCACACACGGUGCAGGACGACACAGACGUCGCGCUUGAGAACAGAGAGAACCAGCAGCAGGGCCUUCGAAGGCAAGACUUGCUUCUUGAAACAAGAGGGUGUGGCAAGUCCUGGUUCCCAUGGGAGGGGGUGAGUGGCUGGCCUCAAGAAUUCAGUGGGCUUCUAGGCAACUGAACGCUGCUCCCCCAAAACCAACAGGCACUAUGGCUAGUCCCGAGGAUGAGAAGGGUGUUUGGGGAAGAGACCUCCCCUGUGAGGGAAGAGGGAGAGGAGAACGGGCAGGAGGCCAUUCGGGUCCCUCCUUGAUCUUCCGCGUGUCAACACAGCCCCUGACACGGAAUCUUCACUGCAGGCCUCCUGCCCCAAGAGGGUACGACAAAUGCUUCUAGAACUAACAACGGAACUUCACAGAGAAACAGUACACGGGCUAAACACAGAAAGACAGCUCGGUUUGGUGCCGACCACAGCCAUCUAGAGCUUGUGAGGAGCUCAGAGAGGCCACCCUCAGAACACAGCAGCAGCAGAGGAGGAGGAUGGUGGUGUGACCGAGGUCCUGCCAGGCUUCUGUGAGGCUUGCUGCUUGUCUGGCGUCUCGAGACCCCACAACCUUGUCCCGGUGGGCGCAGCACCUCACAACCUCCAGACCCAUGGCCACUGGUCUGAGGACACCCCUUUCCAGCUCCUGUACUUCGUCCUCGAGGUCGGCGCGGAGGACGAAGAAGUGAGCAGCCCUUGGGAAGAUGCUCCUCUGCACGGAGCUGAGAAGAGCCCAGAACGGGGCCUCGUUGAUGGAGCUGCUAACUAUGUGGGGGGCCUGGAGACAGCGCGAGUGGAAAUGCGGCCGAACCGGGCAGAUGAGGUUUCAGCCUUGCUGGGGCUCAAGUCCUGCUAGAAGAGACCGACGUGAAGCCCGUAAGUGGAGUGUUGAUGGGGGAGGAGCUCCGUUCUCCUUCUCGAGUAGGUUACGUUCCACGAGGGGUUGUCAGGAUCCCCACCGUGCACCUGAGAUCAGGCCAGUCAGGGGUCAGUGGGGGUGUGUGUGUGUGUGUGUGUGUGUGUCUGUGUGUGUGUGUGUGUGUGUGUGU